CUACGGGCCGCAGCAGUGGGGAAUCUUGGACAAUGGGCGCAAGCCUGAUCCAGCCAUGCCGCGUGAGUGAAGAAGGCCUUAGGGUCGUAAAGCUCUUUCGCCAGAGAUGAUAAUGACAGUAUCUGGUAAAGAAACCCCGGCUAACUCCGUGCCAGCAGCCGCGGUAAUACGGAGGGGGUUAGCGUUGUUCGGAAUUACUGGGCGUAAAGCGCGCGUAGGCGGAUUAGUCAGUCAGAGGUGAAAUCCCAGGGCUCAACCCUGGAACUGCCUUUGAUACUGCUAGUCUUGAGUUCGAGAGAGGUGAGUGGAAUUCCGAGUGUAGAGGUGAAAUUCGUAGAUAUUCGGAGGAACACCAGUGGCGAAGGCGGCUCACUGGCUCGAUACUGACGCUGAGGUGCGAAAGUGUGGGGAGCAAACAGGAUUAGAUACCCCCGUAGUC
rnacentral:rRNA from 1 species